rnacentral:lncRNA from 1 species
UUUUUUUUUUUUCGGGUUUUUUUUUUUUUUUCUUAGGAAUUGUCUUUCCAUGAGCAAAGAUUACAUUCAGGUACAUUUUCAAGGCAUAAAUUAAAAUUGUGGGUAGGUUUUCUUCACAAAAUUAUUAAGAGUAAUCAGUCUUAUCUAAAUCAUGCAUUUGAAGCUGCUAUGCUUUCAAAAGACUCUCCUUCCUAUAUUCUGGCAGGAUUUCUAGGGACAAAUCCUAGAGUUCUUACUGCUGAAGGUAGUAGUCCUGCACAACAUUUGAUCUCUGUCCUUCACUGGAAACUAGUCUGUGUUUCCAGCACACGGGGAAAUUGAGGGAAACAAGUUCACUUGCACAUGAAAAAAUACAGACUGGUACUAUCAUCUUGUGCUGUUGCAGCAGCAUUCACAUUGCGCAUACUCCGAGUUACACUAGCCUACAAACUGGUGACAUCCAUCAGUCAAAAAUAAUCACAAUGAUGACACAGCACAGAGGCACAAACCUUUGCUUUGCACAAACCUUCAUCAUGCUAAGCAAACGUGAAAACUUCCCGGCACAGAAUAAAUACAUAAACUUCCUAUUGAUACAUUUGUUGCGUUCAAAUUUUUCCAUGGAGUUGUGUGGAAAGCCAGUGAAAAAAUGUAAAAUAUGCUAUAACUAACACUAUGGAAUGGAAAUUCUUUUUAAAAAUAGGCACACAUAUUUCACUUGUAAAACUCACCUUCAAGGAGACACAUAGCGUGCAGAAGUCUCUUUUUCAGAAUUUGGUUCAAUUAGCAUCUGAAACACAACAAAAAAUUCAAGUGGAAGUGUCAUCUUUUAGGCUAGGCAACUCUGUUUCCCAUUCUUGCUCUGGUUCCUUGAGAGUGAUUUCCACUGCCUUUUGACUGGAUGAAUUAACUAAUCAGCAAACUGCAUCCCUUCUGCACAGCAAGUACAGAAAGAGUGUGUUAACAGAAAUCCAAUUGUGACAAGAGGGACAAUUCAGCAUGUCCAGCAUUGUAUUUGCCUCCAGGAGGUGGCUGAGUUUUUCAAAACUUGGUGUUUUAGUUACUCACCCAGUGGUACCUGGUUAAGUUUGAGACUCUUCCAAUCCACUGUAUUCUUCUCCAUGUUAAUACCAAUCUCUUCACACAGGAACUUGCUGACAAACUAUUUUAUUGUCCACUGCACUCGCUGAAAUGCAAUUGUGAGUGACUUGCAAGCAAUAUACUCAAAUUAGCUGCAAAAACAGUAAAAAGAAUUACAGUAUUUCAAAUAACUUUGUGCUGCUACAGCUUUAUUUAAACCCAGUUUUCAAAAGCUUUUAAUAAUCAAAAAUAUGAUCACUGCUUUCCCAAAGAAUCUGUAAAUAAAAAUACUUCUAAAUUUCCUAUGGAGCAUAAAGCUAAUCCACGUCCUGAUAAACUUUUAUUAUUCUACCUGGGCAGUGGAAUUUUUAAGUAAGAAUAAAGGAAAUCCAGUUCUUGUCCAUGUGCACAAAACAGGCAAAAAUGUUCCUACUAUCAUUAUCUUCCUCAGUCUUGUACAAUAAUACAAUUUUUAUAUAAGCAAACUAAUGACACUAAUUAAUUCCUUCUAAACUAAGCACAUCUGUGCCUUGACCCAAAAUACGUCUUUCAAAGAUUAUAUAAUAUUUUAUUGCACUGAGCAUCGUAUUCCUUACUUUUCAAUGAAACUGAGAUUUAUAAUUCCACACAUUCUCAGAAGAGCAUAAGGAUUAAUCACUCUGCAUGAAAAUCUCCAAAUGUACAUCACAGUCUUUGCCUGUCUAUAAAUACAUGUGUAGAACUGUAAGAACAAGAAAAAACAACAAAUGACAGCAACACUGUAAAAAUAGUCAAGGGCUCCCGACUUCUUUCUGCAUGACUGUAGUCAUGAGGACAGACAUCUGUGCAAAUUCUUGCAUUUUAUGGAAUCCAGGAAAAAGCUUCUGAAUGGUUUAGAUAUUUUGUACAUUUACAUUUUCAGCCUUUACCUUUAUUUAUUCUAGCUGCUCCUGACUUUCUGCAUUUAUUUAAUGCAGGAAAGAAGCACACAAUGAAGUAGUUUCCAGUUCCUCUGGUAUCAUGAAAGGUAAGCAACACCACUGUUUUAAUCCACAGACAGUUAGUUACCUAUCUUUUACAAAAUAAAAGGAUGUUUGCAAGGGAAGCUUUACACUGGAUCAGCCUCUUCUCUGGCUUUUCCUCAGGAAUAUGUAACAAUUGCAACUUUGGUUCUUGCUGUUUUAGUUUUGGACCACAAAAAUAACCCAAAAUUAUCCAUGUUCCCCACUGCCACUGUUCUUUAUUGAAUUUAACUAUCUUGACUUACUUCUGAAUUUAUGCUAAGUAGCUUUAAUACUCAGGGACUAAAAUGCAUCUAUACUCCUCUUUCAGCUCAGUUGGGAAUUUUCAGGGAAGAAAGAAUAAAAACUUCUUUCAGGCUCUUCUGCAUGACAGUUGUUUUCAGAAAGGUCUUCAUACUGUAAUCCCUUAGGCAAAACACAUAAUGAAUUUUCUUUAAUUUUUCUAAUAUCACAGGUUUUAAUGAAAUGCAUUUUCAGUUUGUCAUCUA